rnacentral:rRNA from 1 species
UACGUAGGGGGCAAGCGUUGUCCGGAAUCCUUGGGCGUAAAGAGCGUGUAGGUGGCUCGGUAAGUCCGCUGUAAAAGUCCAGGGCUCAACCCUGGAAAGCCGGUGGAAACUGUCGAGCUAGAGUCCGGAAGAGGCGAGUGGAAUUCCUGGUGUAGCGGUGAAAUGCGCAGAUAUCAGGAGGAACACCAAUGGCGAAGGCAGCUCGCUGGGACGGUACUGACACUGAGACGCGAAAGCGUGGGGAGCAAACAGG